rnacentral:misc_RNA from 1 species
CGGGAGCGCGCGCAGCCAGAGCAGCGCGCUUGCGCCGUCUGCGGAGCUGUGUUACGGCAAGGGAGGGAUAACGGCGAUGCCGACGCGAAGCGCCGGAACGGCGAGUAAGAGCUGCGCUCUGAAACCUAAUUCCUCUGUAUUCAGAUAAUUAAUCAACUUCUCGGUGAAAGUACGGAGGAACCAGACCACGCACCCCCACUACCAACUGCUACAUGUGAUGCAAUGUCACCGGAAUGCAGCAGUUCAAAUGCUGGAGCAGAAAAUGCCACACAGAAAGACAACCCUGUCGGCAGGUCCCUAGAGUCAGCUCACAGUGACGGAUUUGGAGACCAGACCCACGAUGGAAUUCUAGGAGCGCAUCAAGAGGAGCCAGAAUCAGAAACCACUGAGCAUGCUGGUUUAGAUCUUACCGAAAUGGCUGGAAACACUGAGGCACCAGACCUGAAAAAUCAGUCAGAUGCUGCAGUUCAAACGACGAUCAUCUGCCGAAGUCGGGGAAUGCAGACCCAAGUCAACAUGCAGUCUCGCGCUGUCCAGACGUACUGCUUUGAGAUGCCACGAGCAUCGUCACCAGUGUGCCUUGAAACCAUAUCGGACUCUUCUGACACAGGAUCUGGAAAUGACACGCAGGGCAGGAACAUCGAUUCUUCUGAUGCAUUAACUGACACUAGUCUCAGGUAUGUGAAAAUGUUUGCAGUACAGUACUAACAUGGCCUAUGUAAAUUUCAGAGAGGAUGUUGACCACGCGGCACCGUCCCUACAUGAAGAGCGAAAAUUUAUUGUAUUUGAAUCCUCACUGGACCAGCUUCUUUCAACAUGCCCAGUGUGCGGAGAAGUGUGAUCAGCUGUUGACAAAGGAAUAAAAGGCACACUGCUACGAGUUGAAAGGAUGUGCAAAAACCUGCAUGUUUCUACGUGGACAAACCAGCCGAUGAUUCAGAGGAAAGCAGCUGCAAAUGCGUUACUUCCAGCAGCAGCCCUGUACUCGGGUUGCAAUGCUUCGAGAUUUCUUAGAGCCCUGAAGAGUAUAGGAAUAGUGUGCCCUUCUUAUCUUUACCACCAUGCUGUACAGACCUCUCUUCUGAUUCCGACAAUAACUAAGGUCUGGACUAAGCAUCAAAACCUGCUUUUUGAAGAACUUGCUGGGAAGCCACUGCGUGUUGCUGGGGAUGGAAGAGCUGAUUCGCCGGGUCAAUCUGCCAAGUAUCGCACUCACUCACUGAUCGAAAUUGAUCGCAACAAGGUCUUGCAUGUGGAAACUGUGCAGUCUAACGAAACAAAGGGCAGCAGCAACAUGGAGCUCGAGGGCCUCAAAAGGUCUCUCACCAUUCUUGAAGCAAAUGGCAUGGUGAUUGACGUCAUGGUGACUGACCGACAUUCCCAAAUUAAGGCGUUUGCUGCUAAAGAGGGAACUUUUGAGCACAACUAUGACUGUUGGCACGUUGCUAAAUCGCUAAAGAAGAAGCUCACUGCCGCUGGGAAGCUAAAGAAGUAUAAUGACAUUCAGCCUUGGAUAAAAGGCAUUAUUAACCAUGUAUACUGGUGCGCAGUAUCAAGCGAAGGCAGACCGGAUUUAAUUUUGCCAAAGUGGUGUUCGCUGGCACGUCAUAUUGCUGAUGUGCAUUGCCACGAUGACCCCCCUGUAUGAAAAGUGCCAACAUGAUCAGCAGUCAAAAAAGAAAUGGCUCAUAGCAGGCUCUCCAGCACACGAAAAGAUAAAGAGCAUUAUCCUCAACAAGGCUCUCUUGAAGGACAUACCAAAGUUGUCUACAUCAGUACAGGCAUUUGCAGUUGAGGCAUACCACAGCACCAUAAUCCGGUUUGCUCCUAAAGCAACACAUUUCCACUACCAAAGCAUGGUUGCAAGGUAAAUACUGCCCUGUACGUAAAUGCUAGUGAAGCAAGUUGUGAUGCGUUUGCCGACUGCAUGUUUCUUUUUCAGGACUCGCCUUGCAGCGCUGCACUACAAUGAAAAUAGUGCACGUGAACACGCCACUACCAAGGGCCAGCACAGGUACCUGGUGAAGUAUCCAAAGUCCACGAAAGUGCCUGUUGCUGCACCUAUUAAGAAGGCUUGCACCUAUGGUAAUGGACGGUGCAUUACAAAUUACAA